rnacentral:rRNA from 1 species
GACGAACGCUGGCGGCGUGCCUAAUACAUGCAAGUUGAGCGCUGAAGGUUGGUACUUGUACCGACUGGAUGAGCAGCGAACGGGUGAGUAACGCGUGGGGAAUCUGCCUUUGAGCGGGGGACAACAUUUGGAAACGAAUGCUAAUACCGCAUAAAAACUUUAAACACAAGUUUUAAGUUUGAAAGAUGCCAUUGCAUCACUCAAAGAUGAUCCCGCGUUGUAUUAGCUAGUUGGUGAGGUAAAGGCUCACCAAGGCGAUGAUACAUAGCCGACCUGAGAGGGUGAUCGGCCACAUUGGGACUGAGACACGGCCCAAACGCCUACGGGAGGCAGCAGUAGGGAAUCUUCGGCAAUGGACGAAAGUCUGACCGAGCAACGCCGCGUGAGUGAAGAAGGGUUUCGGAUCGUAAAACUCUGUUGGUAGAGAAGAACGUUGGUGAGAGUGGAAAGCUCAGCAAGUGACGGUAACUACCCAGAAAGGGACGGCUAACUACGUG